rnacentral:rRNA from 1 species
UACGUAGGGGGCAAGCGUUGUCCGGAAUUAUUGGGCGUAAAGGGCUCGUAGGCGGUCUGUUGCGUCAGGAGUGAAAACUCGGGGCUUAACCCCGAGCCUGCUUCUGAUACGGGCAGACUAGAGGUAUGCAGGGGAGAACGGAAUUCCUGGUGUAGCGGUGAAAUGCGCAGAUAUCAGGAAGAACACCCGUGGCUAAGGCGGCUCUCUAGUACGGUACUGACGCUGAGACGCGAAAGCGUGGGGAGCGAACAGG